UACGAAGGGGGCUAGCGUUGUUCGGAAUCACUGGGCGUAAAGCGCACGCAGGCGGAUCGUUAAGUCAGGGGUGAAAUCCCGAGGCUCAACCUCGGAACUGCCUUUGAUACUGGCGAUCUUGGAGUCCGGGAGAGGUGAGUGGAACUCCGAGUGUAGAGGUGAAAUUCGUAGAUAUUCGGAAGAACACCAGUGGCGAAGGCGGCUCACUGGCCCGGUACUGACGCUCAUGUGCGAAAGCGUGGGGAGCAAACAGG
rnacentral:rRNA from 1 species